rnacentral:rRNA from 1 species
UACGAAGGGUGCAAGCGUUAAUCGGAAUUACUGGGCGUAAAGGGUGCGUAGGCGGUUGUUUAAGUCUGCCGUGAAAUCCCCGGGCUCAACCUGGGAAUGGCGGUGGAUACUGGGCAGCUAGAGUGUGUCAGAGGAUGGUGGAAUUCCCGGUGUAGCAGUGAAAUGCGUAGAGAUCGGGAGGAACACCAGUGGCGAAGGCGGCCUUCUGGACCAAUACUGACGCUCAUGCACGAAAGCGUGGGGAGCAAACAGG